UGCAAGUCGAGCGGUAGAGAGAAGCUUGCUUCUCUUGAGAGCGGCGGACGGGUGAGUAAUGCCUAGGAAUCUGCCUGGUAGUGGGGGAUAACGCUCGGAAACGGACGCUAAUACCGCAUACGUCCUACGGGAGAAAGCAGGGGACCUUCGGGCCUUGCGCUAUCAGAUGAGCCUAGGUCGGAUUAGCUAGUUGGUGAGGUAAUGGCUCACCAAGGCGACGAUCCGUAACUGGUCUGAGAGGAUGAUCAGUCACACUGGAACUGAGACACGGUCCAGACUCCUACGGGAGGCAGCAGUGGGGAAUAUUGGACAAUGGGCGAAAGCCUGAUCCAGCCAUGCCGCGUGUGUGAAGAAGGUCUUCGGAUUGUAAAGCACUUUAAGUUGGGAGGAAGGGCAGUUACCUAAUACGUAUCUGUUUUGACGUUACCGACAGAAUAAGCACCGGCUAACUCUGUGCCAGCAGCCGCGGUAAUACAGAGGGUGCAAGCGUUAAUCGGAAUUACUGGGCGUAAAGCGCGCGUAGGUGGUUUGUUAAGUUGGAUGUGAAAUCCCCGGGCUCAACCUGGGAACUGCAUUCAAAACUGACAAGCUAGAGUAUGGUAGAGGGUGGUGGAAUUUCCUGUGUAGCGGUGAA
rnacentral:rRNA from 1 species